GAUGAACGCUGGCGGCGUGCCUAAUACAUGCAAGUCGAGCGAACGGACGAGAAGCUUGCUUCUUUGAUGUUAGCGGCGGACGGGUGAGUAACACGUGGAAAACCUACUUAUAAGACUGGGAUAACUUCGGGAAACCGGAGCUAAUACCGGAUAAUAUUUUGAACCGCAUGGUUCAAAAGUGAAAGACGGUCUUGCUGUCACUUAUAGAUGGAUCCGCGCUGCAUUAGCUAGUUGUUAAGGUAACGGCUUACCAAGGCAACGAUGCAUAGCCGACCUGAGAGGGUGAUCGGCCACACUGGAACUGAGACACGGUCCAGACUCCUACGGGAGGCAGCAGUAGGGAAUCUUCCGCAAUGGGCGAAAGCCUGACGGAGCAACGCCGCGUGAGUGAUGAAGGUCUUCGGAUCGUAAAACUCUGUUAUUAGGGAAGAACAUAUGUGUAAGUAACUGUGCACAUCUUGACGGUACCUAAUCAGAAAGCCACGGCUAACUACGUG
rnacentral:rRNA from 1 species